rnacentral:rRNA from 1 species
AGCUCGCAGAGUAAGCUAAUCUCUUAAAGCCGUUCUCAGUUCGGACUGUAGGCUGCAACUCGCCUACACGAAGUCGGAAUCGCUAGUAAUCGCGGAUCAGCAUGCCGCGGUGAAUACGUUCCCGGGCCUUGUACACACCGCCCGUCACACCAUGGGAGUCGGUAACACCCGAAGCCUGUAGUCUAACCGCAAGGAGGACGCAGUCGAAGGUGGGAUUGAUGACUGGGGUGAAGUCGUAACAAGGUAUC